rnacentral:rRNA from 1 species
AGUGAACGCUGGCGGUAGGCCUAACACAUGCAAGUCGAACGGCAGCACAGUAAGAGCUUGCUCUUACGGGUGGCGAGUGGCGGACGGGUGAGGAAUACAUCGGAAUCUACUUUUUCGUGGGGAUAACGUAGGGAAACUUACGCUAAUACCGCAUACGACCUACGGGUGAAAGCCGGGGAUCUUCGGACCUUUCGCGGUUGGAUGAGCCGAUGUCGGAUUAGCUAGUUGGCGGGGUAAAGGCCCACCAAGGCGACGAUCCGUAGCUGGUCUGAGAGGAUGAUCAGCCACACUGGAACUGAGACACGGUCCAGACUCCUACGGGAGGCAGCAGUGGGGAAUAUUGGACAAUGGGCGCAAGCCUGAUCCAGCCAUACCGCGUGGGUGAAGAAGGCCUUCGGGUUGUAAAGCCCUUUUGUUGGGAAAGAAAAGCAGCAGGUUAAUACCCCGCUGUUCUGACGGUACCCAAAGAAUAAGCACCGGCUAACUUCGUG